ACAACUUAUUCCAGUCUGUAAUCUCUGGAAUUUUUUGCUCUUUAGAAUUUGGAAGUUAACUAGCAUUUUUCAAGCCUUUAUUAUAUACCCUUGUCUUUUAUACUAACGUUUAUUUAUUAUUCUUUAGGUAAGAAUGAUUGAUGUUGGCUGAUUUUGGAGUCUUAUUUACUUGAGGCGGAAUUAGAUGUUCUCAAGACAGCACACAACAUGGGUCAGCUAAAAAGGAAAGCCACAAAUUACUUAGACUGACAAAGACUCUAGUCUUUCAGGUUCCAUCAGUUUAUUUACCAGUUCCUGCUCAACAGCUAUCAGAGCCAGGCUACUAAGUUUCUCUUGUCCCAUGGUACGAAGUAAGUAUGUUUUAAGAUGAGACAGCGUGGAAAAUGACUUCUCAUUAUUUGCUGAAGUAAUUGGCCAAGAUAAAGCAAUAUGCAACAGCUUCGUGAUACAAGGAAUAUUAUUGUGGAGAGCAUGCUGAAUAAACAAAGAGCCUAGGUCAAUGAAGCUUAAGGACCCAUCCUCUGCGAUGAAGUUGAAACCUGCAUACUGCCGGUAAAAUCGGAGCUCGGGAAUGAUGUCUGCAUCAAGCUUAUAGAAUUCCUGGAUGUGCUUGGCUGUUGCUUCAUUUAAUGGCUCAUUCCACUUAAGUAACAGCUCUGAAAUUUGUUUCAUUUUACAAUAGUCAAACUCUGAAAAAUAUAACUUUAAAUGUUUUAAUACCGUGUCCAGACCUUGGUAGUAAAUAUUAAAUUUAUAUUGUUCAUCUGCUGAAGUAGGAAAAAACAUAUGCUCUGAGUUGCCAGGAUCUACUGUUCUUUGAACUUUUCUUCUUUUUUGAAAAGAGGGUUUCUCAACAUCAAAACCCUUACUGGUUAUCUUUUUACAUAUUUCAUCUGCUCCAUCCCAGAUAUUUUUAAAGUAUGUAUCAUUCCUUUCAGAAGAUAAACAUUCCAAAAUUGCUUCUAUUUUUGAAAACAAAGAAAAGAUGUCAACAGUUUCACUUUGAAACUCUCUAGAAAGAAUCCCUGUGAUACUGAGUACUCGAUAAAGAAAUUUCAAACAAAAUAUAAAUUCAAACUUGGUAACCAUGGCCAACAGGUCCUCCAGCUCGGCAGCCACAGCUGUGCCUGCGCACCGGCGUGACACUGACGCCAGCACCUCAACGACCUCCGGAAGGCAGUCCGUCACGGCCAGCAGCAAAUGGUCGUGGGCUGGCCAACACGACUGUGACGUGUGUUUCUUACAAGUUUUAUUUAGACUUAGCUUACACAUGGUUUGCAAACUUGCCAACAUUUCUUCAGACACAUGAACUGUGUUGAACAAAGAGCAGAGAGUGUGUAGUGCCUCGCGGAGCUCCUUCACCUCCUUACAGAAGCUAAUCACCGCUAACUCCAAAAAAUGGGCGUGACAAUGCACAUAGAGAGCUCUUGGCUCUUCCUUCUUGAAUUCUGCUACAACUUCAUUCAAUUUUACCGUAAAAUUUGUGGCACUAUCAUAGGCUUGGCCACAUAUUUUAUUAAAAUCAACUCCAACCUGCUGCAGGUAAGCUUUGAUCCGCCCAUGCACGUGGACCCCAGUCACCUCCUCGGCAGUCACAAACCCCAGGAACCUUUCCUUAACCAAGACAGCACUUGGCGUCUUUUGUGGGUACCUCACACACACGGAAAGCUGUCUCUCAGCGGCACUACCAGCUAUCUCCUCGCAGAUUAUUGAAAAGGCUGAGGAGGCGUUGAUCUCACUCACGAUGUCUUGCAACAUUUCAUCCUUUAUCAUUUCAAUAAUCUCCUCCUGGACAAGCGUGCUGCUAUAGAAGUCCACGUGGGAACUCAUGAGCUGAAAUACCUCUCCUCUAUCUCUUGCUCUAAGUUCUAGCAAUUCCAAAAAACUGCCUUUAUUCAUGGGUGAAACAGACUGGUCAUUUCCUUUUAACAGCAAGCACUGUUUUCCAAGAAAUAAAAUGUUCUCAAUGA
ensembl:processed_transcript Gm12940 predicted gene 12940